rnacentral:rRNA from 1 species
UACGUAGGGGGCGAGCGUUGUCCGGAUUUAUUGGGCGUAAAGAGCUCGUAGGCGGCUUGUUGCGUCGACCGUGAAAACCCGUGGCUUAACUGCGGGCUUGCGGUCGAUACGGGCGGGCUGGAGUUCGGUAGGGGAGACUGGAAUUCCUGGUGUAGCGGUGAAAUGCGCAGAUAUCAGGAGGAACACCGGUGGCGAAGGCGGGUCUCUGGGCCGAUACUGACGCUGAGGAGCGAAAGCGUGGGGAGCGAACAGG